UCUUUUUUAUUUAUUUCACGGAUCCAAGAUCACGGGUCACGAGCUUAACAGUUACCAUAGCGACAGGUUUUUAGUAUAAAUUUGAAAAUUUUCAGUCGUAAUGAAAUAGACCUUAGUACAAAUAGAAAAGCACAGUUUCAAAACCUAAUCAUUAAUAAAAUUAAUAAGAUUUGAAGAUAUGGCAGAUUUUAGUAAAAUUCCUGGCGCCGAUCAAAUUUCCGAUCUCUCAAGCUGGGAAAUAGCCUUGAUUAUCGGGAUAGGUGCUGCAGCUCUUCUUGGUGUCGCUUACUGGUAUAUCAACAAAAGUGAUAACCCUCAAUUAUAAUAUAAUGGAAGAUAGGUUUUAAGGAUUGAUACCGAUUUCGUUGUCUUUAAUCCUAAAUUCUGUCCUGAAUAUGAUGAAAAUGUGAAGCGUUUUUGUAAAGACACAUGCAUGAUAAAUUUUGAAGUUGAUUGUAGUUUUUGAAUAAAAGUAAUUUUCCUGAUUGAAAA